GGGGAAUAUUGCACAAUGGGCGAAAGCCUGAUGCAGCAACGCCGCGUGAGUGAUGAAGGUUUUCGGAUCGUAAAGCUCUGUUGCCAGGGAAGAACGUCCUGUAGAGUAACUGCUACAGGAGUGACGGUACCUGAGAAGAAAGCCCCGGCUAACUACGUGCCAGCAGCCGCGGUAAUACGUAGGGGGCAAGCGUUGUCCGGAAUUAUUGGGCGUAAAGCGCGCGCAGGCGGCUGUUUAAGUCUGGUGUUUAAUCCUGGGGCUCAACCCCGGGUCGCACUGGAAACUGGGCAGCUUGAGUGCAGAAGAGGAGAGUGGAAUUCCACGUGUAGCGGUGAAAUGCGUAGAGAUGUGGAGGAACACCAGUGGCGAAGGCGACUCUCUGGGCUGUAACUGACGCUGAGGCGCGAAAGCGUGGGGAGCAAAC
rnacentral:rRNA from 1 species